rnacentral:rRNA from 1 species
GACGAACGCUGGCGGCGUGCUUAACACAUGCAAGUCGAACGGAAAGGCCCUGCUUUUGUGGGGUGCUCGAGUGGCGAACGGGUGAGUAACACGUGAGUAACCUGCCCUUCACUUUGGGAUAACUUCAGGAAACUGGGGCUAAUACCGGAUAGGAGCUCCUGCUGCAUGGUGGGGGUUGGAAAUUUUCGGCGGUUGGGGAUGGACUCGCGGCUUAUCAGCUUGUUGGUGGGGUAGUGGCUUACCAAGGCUUUGACGGGUAGCCGGCCUGAGAGGGUGACCGGCCACAUGGGGACUGAGAUACGCCCCAGACUCCUACGGGAGGCAGCAGGGGGGAAUAUUGCACAAUGGGCGGAAGCCGGAGGCAGCAACGCCGCGUGCGGGAUGCCGGCCUUCGGGUUGAAAACCGCUUUCGCCUGUGACGAAGCGUGUGUGACGGUAAUGAGUAAAGAAGCACCGGCUAACUACGUG